rnacentral:rRNA from 1 species
UACGUAGGGUGCAAGCGUUAAUCGGAAUUACUGGGCGUAAAGCGUGCGCAGGCGGUUGUGCAAGACAGAUGUGAAAUCCCCGGGCUUAACCUGGGAACUGCAUUGUGACUGCACGGCUAGAGUGUGUCAGAGGGGGGUAGAAUUCCACGUGUAGCAGUGAAAUGCGUAGAUAUGUGGAGGAAUACCGAUGGCGAAGGCAGCCCCC